rnacentral:rRNA from 1 species
CCUACGGGAGGCAGCAGUGGGGAAUAUUGGGCAAUGGAGGAAACCCUGACCCAGCAACGCCGCGUGAGUGAAGAAGGUCCUCGGAUUUGAAAGCUUCUUUCUAAGGGGAGCAAAAAGUGACGGUAGCUUAGGAAUAAGCAUCGGCUAACUCCGUGCAAGCAGCCGCGGCAAUACGGAGGAGGCAAGAGGACUUCGGAGUGAAGGGUCGUAAGGGGUGCGUAGGGAGUUUGAUAAGUUGGUGGCGAAACUCCGAGGCUCAACCUCGGCAAGACCGCCCAAACUGCCGGACUUGAGUGCAGGAGGGGCAACCGGAAUUCCUGGUGUAGCGGUGAAAUGCGUAGAUAUUAGGAGGAACACUGGUGGCGAAGGCGGGUUGCUGGACUUUAACUGACACUGAGGCACGAAAGCGUGGGGAGCGAACAGGAUUAGAUACCCUUGUAGUC